GAUAAACGCUGGCGGCGUGCCUAAUGCAUGCAAGUCGGACGGAGUCAUCCUUCGGGGUGAUUGAGUGGCGAACGGGUGAGGAACGCGUGGAGAACCUACCCCGGCGUGGGGGAGUACCCGCCAGAAAUGGCGGCUAAUACCGCGUACGGUCCAGGGGCGGGCAGGCUCUCUGGAAGAAAGCAGUGAUGCGCGCUGGGAGGGGUCUGCGCCCGAUUAGCUAGUUGGCGGGGUAACGGCCCACCAAGGCGGUGAUCGGUAGCUGGUCUGAGAGGAUGAUCAG
rnacentral:rRNA from 1 species